GGACCCAGUUCACGGUGCAGAACCGCUCGGCCAGCGGUCUCGCUUUGGCCACUCAAGUCCCAGCUUGGUGGAAGCCCUGGAGACCUGAGAGCCUUCCUUGAGGAGAGGAACUCUUGGACCGAGGCUCGUUCAGCUUCACGUUCACCCGCAGCCCACGCUCGGUUCUCCUGGUCUUCUGGUUUGCAACCAGAAGCUUGUGUGGAAGGCGCAACGCAGCGCUGCUACUGAGGGCUCCCAGCGGAAGCACUCUUGAGUGGGGGUUCAAGAAAGUGUAAAGUUAAAUAAGUUUUGCUUACCAAAAGAUUCCACUUAAUGAAGACUGCUUGCUUUAUUGACUUUACCCAGAAAUCUGACCCUUUCCCCUAAGUAUUCUAUCGGGUGCUAUCUGGCCUAAGGCAUAGGUGCUGUCUCGGGCAUCUGGACCACUGGAACUGGAGUUUUGAGAGAGAGGCUGAUGAGAAGGCAGGAGUCGUGGAUCAUUAAGUGAUGCGAUGAUGCUUGGGGCCUAGAGCAUCUUCACACGCUUGGUGGCUACUCAGGUCCACUAAUUGUUCUGUCCCCCAGUGUGGUGUUGAAGGAGCUUCAGAUACUUACUACACGAAUCAAUGGUUACAGCAGCUGGCCGCGCUGGGACAAGCUCUGCCGAGUAGCUCAGCCCAUGACAUUCUGGAAGAUAUGAAGAUGCUCACAGGUGAAUAUGUAGAUCCAAAAUGCUGCAAGAGCAUGUCACGAGCACAAAAAGGAAUAUGAAAAUACAGAUGGCAAUAAUUUAUGUGAUCUCAACUAAAAUUUUCAAGACAGUGAUGCAGAGGAUCACUUACUAAGUUAAUCAACUUUCAUAACAUACUGAAGAUCCUGCCUACAGAUAGCAGAGCUGAGCAGGGAAGAAUUGUAUAGGAGAUUCAAGACAACAUUUAAGCACCUGGAGAUGGCAGAAUUUGAAGCCUGGACUUGACAAUUCUGCAAGCAUAUAAAAAUGUGU